rnacentral:rRNA from 1 species
AUUGAACGCUGGCGGCAGGCCUAACACAUGCAAGUCGAACGGUAACAGGAAGCAGCUUGCUGCUUCGCUGACGAGUGGCGGACGGGUGAGUAAUGUCUGGGAAGCUGCCUGAUGGAGGGGGAUAACUACUGGAAACGGUAGCUAAUACCGCAUAAUGUCGCAAGACCAAAGAGGGGGACCUUCGGGCCUCUUGCCAUCGGAUGUGCCCAGAUGGGAUUAGCUUGUUGGUGGGGUAACGGCUCACCAAGGCGACGAUCCCUAGCUGGUCUGAGAGGAUGACCAGCCACACUGGAACUGAGUCACGGUCCAGACUCCUACGGGAGGCAGCAGUGGGGAAUAUUGCACAAUGGGCGCAAGCCUGAUGCAGCCAUGCCGCGUGUAUGAAGAAGGCCUUCGGGUUGUAAAGUACUUUCAGCGGGGAGGAAGGGAGUAAAGUUAAUACCUUUGCUCAUUGACGUUACCCGCAGAAGAAGCACCGGCUAACUCCGUG